AAAUAAUUAAUGAUAUUAUUAAUACAAAUGACCUUGAUAAAAAAUUGAAAAGUAAUAAGGUUUUAAUCAAUAGAGUAGUAAAAAUAAGGAUGAAAACCUAAUUACUCCAUUUUUUUACUAUUUUUAUUUGAUUAGAAUCUCUAAAAGAUUUUCGAUAAGGUUUUGAUCUUUUGAUAACAAGGAAGUUUUAACUUCGGUAUGUGUGUGAUUAUAUAUAUUUACCUUUAUUUUUGUAUACUUUAUUGCAGAUAUGUAAAAGUAAAACUAAACGAGUUUUUCUUGAUUUGUCAUGUAUUGAUUAUUUGAAAUAUAUAGCGAAUCAUGCAUGAUGCUUAAAUUUAAAGAAAAUUAACGAAAAUGAUUUGAAAAUUUUAGCUUUUAACCAAAAUGACAAAAUAAAUAUAUAAAUAAAUAGUACCAUGAGCGACUUUUUAGGCUAAAAAUAUCUUUAACAUUAAAAGUGAAAAGUACCAAGAAUAUUUCAUUAAAACUCUCUUAAAUCUAACAAUGUAAGAUUUCAAGUGGUGGCUAGAUUGCUAUAUGGACAUAUAUGAUGUUCGUCGCACCGCACCUCAUAUUCAAACUCUCUCACCUUUUUAAGUUUGGUUUGGAAUAGUAUCGCUAUUUGUGAUAAAUAAAAUAAAAAUUAAUAAAAGAAAUUAGAGGAAAAUGGAAAUUAAUUAUCUUAAAACACUUAACAGUUAUUUU
rnacentral:lncRNA from 1 species